rnacentral:rRNA from 1 species
AACAAACAGGGAUUGCCUCAGUAACGGCGAGUGAAGCGGCAACAGCUCAAAUUUGAAAUCUGGCUCCCCUGGGGGCCCGAGUUGUAAUUUGUAGAGGAUGCUUCGGCGUGGGCCCCGGUCUAAGUUCCUUGGAACAGGACGUCACAGAGGGUGAGAAUCCCGUACGUGGCCGUGGGUGCUCGCCAUGUGAAGCUCCUUCGACGAGUCGAGUUGUUUGGGAAUGCAGCUCUAAAUGGGAGGUAAAUUUCUUCUAAAGCUAAAUACUGGCCAGAGACCGAUAGCGCACAAGUAGAGUGAUCGAAAGAUGAAAAGCACUUUGGAAAGAGAGUCAAAAAGUACGUGAAAUUGUUGAAAGGGAAGCGCUUGCAACCAGACCUGCCUGCGGUUGCUCAUCCGGGCUCCUGCCCGGUGCACUCUUCCGCAGUCAGGCCAGCAUCAGCUCUGGCGGUCGGAUAAAGGCGGCGGGAAUGUGGCUCCCCUCGGGGAGUGUUAUAGCCCGCCGUGCAAUGCGGCCAGCCGGGACUGAGGUCCGCGCUUCGGCUAGGAUGCUGGCGUAAUGGUUGUAAGCGGCCCGUCUUGAAACACGGACCAAGGAGUCUAACAUCUGUGCGAGUGUUUGGGUGUCAAGCCCAGGCGCGUAAUGAAAGUGAACGGAGGCGGGAACCUUCGGGUGCACCGUCGACCGAUCCUGAUGUCUUCGGAUGGAUUUGAGUAAGAGCAUAGCUGUUGGGACCCGAAAGAUGGUGAACUAUGCCUGAAUAGGGUGAAGCCAGAGGAAACUCUGGUGGAGGCUCGCAGCGGUUCUGACGUGCAAAUCGAUCGUCAAAUUUGGGCAUAGGGGCGAAAG